AACCAUUCAGGGAUCAUCCCC
rnacentral:rRNA from 1 species